UACGGGGGGGGGCUAGCGUUGUUCGGAAUUACUGGGCGUAAAGGGCGCGUAGGCGGUCUGCUAAGUUGGAUGUGAAAACUCUGGGCUUAACCCAGAGCCUGCAUUCAAUACUGACAGGCUAGAGUUCUGGAGGGGAUAGCGGAAUUCCUGGUGUAGCGGUGAAAUGCGUAGAUAUCAGGAGGAACACCGGUGGCGAAGGCGGCUAUCUGGACAGAGUCUGACGCUGAGGCGCGAAAAGCUAGGGGAGCAAACAGG
rnacentral:rRNA from 1 species